rnacentral:lncRNA from 1 species
AUGCUCAGUUCUACAUGUUCUACAUGUAUUCAUUCAAUCUUACAAACAGCCCACCGGACUGGAAGGGAAGUGUACAAAAGGACCCAAGGCAAUAUAACAAGAGCAAAAAUUUCUCAUAAGAAGAUGAUUAGUUUUUCUAACGUGAUGAGCCAUUUUCAGGAUGAACUACAGGGCAACUCUCUGUCAUUGCCUCCCACCACAGAAAGGUUAUCUCCGGAUCAAGGCAUUGCAACACCGCUUUCUUGCUUGGUCAUGAAGCCAGUGGCCUGA